rnacentral:lncRNA from 1 species
CAAGUCUAAGUUCUCUCCAGGUCACUGGGCAAAGUGAUUCCAAAGUCCUAUACAUUCUUUUGUAUUAAAGGCAUGAGUCUCGGUGUCAGGACUUAGAACUAACAAUAGUCAUAGAGUAUAACUCAGCUUUCAGGGUCUCUGAUGACUUUUAGGUCUGUCUCUGGAGAACCAUAGCCAUUAGCUAGGGAAUUGUUUCCCUAGCUCUCUUAAGAGUCCCUCUGUUAGAUCUCUAAUUUGACUCAUCAGUGGAACUUGACCAGAGUUUGGAGGCUAAAGUGAAGGUCCAAUGUUCCCUUCAAACUGAAAGUCUUAUUUAACAAUUUGUGAGAACUUCCUAAGAGUGCUCUGUGGCCUCCACCAGCACUUUCUGAGGCUCACAGGCUAAGUGUCCCAUUGGAUCCUCACACUCUUGCAGUUGAUCCAUUUGCAAAGUCCAAGGGUGGCCCAAAUCUCUCACACCUCCUAAAAGUGUGUAGGAUCUACAGCAUUUGUAGGAUCUACAGCAUUAUAUUGAUCACUUUGCUCACUGUACCAGUUUCUCAGAGAGCUAGAGAGCUGCCGGUUGUCGUUGGCCAAUUAAGAUAACAAACUAAACAAAGUAAAAUUCUGCCUUUUUUCACUUACUCUGAUAGUAUAAGCAAGAAUCUAAACAGAAGAGGGCUGAAGCUCUACCAGUCUUCCAUUUUCCCCACAGAACAGCACUAGGCAAGGGUCAGGUGUAUCAUUAUAGACAGGAGAGAGUGGGGGCAACAUCUCACUGCCCCAAACAAAAGGCUUCUGCUGUUUUAAGGACACUGGGCCCAGGGGAAGGAUGAGGAGGCAGAGUUUGGAGCAGAUAAGUACUUUACACCGAAUCAGACUGAGAACAGUGUCUUCCAGAUCUAUCUUUAAGGUGGUGUAGGUAGAGGCAUCUGAAUAGUACAGGUUCAGUACAUCUGAACCUCUGAAUGGAGGUUCCUAGGCCAGAAUGCAGAUAAAUGUAAGAUCAUGGUCAUCUAGAAGUGGAGGUUAAGGGUCAGCCUGACUGCAGCUACUUCUAGUGCCUGCAGUGUAUACAUCAAGUCAGUGUGGGGUUGGAAGCUUUUCCCUAUAAGAACUGCCAGGUAGGUUUGUAAUUGCUUAUGGGGCUGAAAGAUCAUAUACAGGGUUUUGACUUGCAGUUGGAACCUCAGUGUAUGUAUACACACACACACACACACACACACACACACGCACGCACACAUUCAUACGUACCUAUACCUACAUACACAUAAAAGUGAACAUAUAUAUGCAUAUACACAUACAUAGGCAUAUUUAGAAAUUAUGAGUUCUUACAGGCACCUUCAAUUCCAGUUAAUACCCCUAGGGCUUGUUUUUGCCUGCCUUCAUUUUAUAUGUGGAUGUCCUUCCACAGUGAGAAUCCUGACUUUGAGUAACAUCAACACAUUUAUAUAUUCACUCCAUCCUAUAAUGCUUCUAAAAUUGUUUCAGUCACUUAGCUGAUACUAGGGAAAAAACCUACUAAAUUUUUUGUGAUUUUUUUUUUUUUUGCAUCCCACUCUACCAAGUCUUUUACAGAAAAGGUUUCUUUUUUGUGUGUGUGGUACGCGGGCCUCUCACUGUUGUGGCCUCUCCCGUUGCGGAGCGCAGGCUCCGGACGCGCAGGCUCAGUGGCCAUGGCUCACGGGCCUAGAUGCUCUGCAGCACGUGGGAUCCUCCCGGACUGGGGCACGAACCCGUGUCCCCUGCAUUGGCAGGCAGACUCUCAACCACUGCACCACCAGGGAAGCCCUAGAUAUUCUUUAUUUCAGUUUUUUUUUCAUUUAUUGUUGCCUCCUAGAAAUCCCUCCAAUUCGUUUUAUAGAGACCUUUUGCAUUUCUUUUACAGUAGUAGGUACACUUGUUAUACUACAGCAUAUACCAUAAUUUAUACUUCACCGUAGUUUAUAAUAUAUACUUUAAUUUAUUCACCCAAUCUUCUAUGCUUAUAUAUUUUGUUGCUUUUAGCUAUUUUGCAAUUACACAUAAUACUGUAAUGAAAAACUUGUACUUACACAUUUUCUUUUUUUUUUUUAAGAAGUCAACAUAGGUUUGUGUUUUUUUUAACAUCAUUAUUGGAGUAUAAUUGCUUUGCAAUGGUGUGUUAGUUUCUGCUUUAUAACAAAGUGAAUCAGCUAUACAUAUACAUAUAUCCCCAUAUCUCCUCCCUCUUGUGUCUCCCUCCCACCCUCCCUAUCCCACCCCUCUAGGUGGUCACAAAGCACCAAGCUGAUCUCCCUGUGCUGUGCGGCUGCUUCCCACUAGCUAUCUAUUUUACAUGUGGUAGUAGGUACACGUUUUCAUUGUUUGGCCUAUAAAUAUGUAUUUACCUAAAGUAUAAAUAACACAAGAAAACUAGAAACUAAUAUAAAACAUAUUUGAUGCCUAGGAAUGUUUAUGAAACACUGAGACCGUUUCAACAUACAUCUAUCAAAAAUGAUCUCGCAAUUUUCAUGUGGAUCUAGCAUUGUGGCAAUUUACUUAAAACUUUAUAAAAAUGAGAGAAGAUGCUGCUGCAUAAUUAUUAUAAAUUUGAAAUUAGAGAUUUCACAAUAAAUCUAUUUUCCCAUUUAAGUGGAGUGAAUGUAUCUCUUUUUGAAGCUCAUGAUAAAGUACCAGAUAAGAAGCUUAUGCGUGAGAAUCAAGAUUCAGUGUCAAAAAUCCAACAGC